rnacentral:misc_RNA from 1 species
GAUGAAGAACGUAGCGAAAUGCGAUAAGUAAUGUGAAUUGCAGAAUUCAGUGAAUCAUCGAAUCUUUGAACGCACAUUGCGCCCGCCAGCAUUCUGGCGGGCAUGCCUGUUCGAGCGUCAUUUCAACCCUCGAGCCCCCCCGGGGGCCUCGGUGUUGGGGGACGGCACACCAGCCGCCCCCGAAAUGCAGUGGCGACCCCGCCGCAGCCUCCCCUGCGUAGUAGCACACACCUCGCACCGGAGCGCGGAGGCGGUCACGCCGUAAAACGCCCAACUUUCUUAGAGUUGACCUCGGAUCAGGUAGGAAUACCCGCUGUACUUAAGCAUAUCAAUAAGCGGAGGA